rnacentral:lncRNA from 1 species
ACAAAGUCAUCUUCAAGAAAAUAAUAUGCAGUUUCAUUUUCAAACUUCUUUAGCCACAUAAUCUAAGUAAUUUUCAAACUCCUUAUGCGGCUUUAGAUCACAGGCUCAUAAACGAGAACACAUUGGCACAAUCAGACGACACACAAACAAAUCAUAGAGGCUCGAGCUAGAGCAAAUCAUGGGUAUCAUCUCGGAGGCUCUUUUUGCCUUCCGCAUACACAAUCAUACACUCACUACUUCAUGUGCAGAACCAAAAUCCUCAUUCUUGAAAACAGGAGCCGGAGCCGAGCGCCGCUUCGCCAUCACCAACUGCUACGCCGCAGGCCCACACGACGCCGUGGAGAGGUACACUUUGCCGACUCUGGGGUCGCCACCGCUGACGCCGGCUGGCCGGACGCGGGUGGGCUAACUGCACUCCUUGCAGGCCUAGCCAAUGGGGUGAGACCCAGUUCUCAAGAACAUGAUGACCGCCGCUGUUUUGCUGGUUGAACGACCUCAUCGUGGCACACGCAGAUCUCCUUGGCACUUGUCGAGGAAGAGGCGGUCAACAUGGUGAGGUCGUUCAACCGGCAAAAACGCCGGCUCCUCGUCAGGUAGCUCAUCGUCAUGUUCAUCCUCGCCCACGAUGUACGGGAGGAUAUGUCUCCGAUCAUGGCAUCGCAGUAGAGACCGGCCCGGGACCUAAAACAUGCCAACAAUUAGAUUAGAGACUAGUAGCAUUUUCUUGAUCUUAGCACUUGUAACUAGAACGUCUGUAACAAACGAACGAACGAACGAUCAUUGCACUAAGACCAGAGAAACAGACUUGAUACUUGCUUGUGCGAGAGCCGAGCUCUGCUUCACGAGCUGUGUGU